ACGUCAAUAUCCAACAUGGCGGCCCACAUUGCGCUGGAGCUCCUGUUUGCCGAGGAAGAGAUUAUCUGCUUAUGGCUUUUAAAACGACAAAUGCAACGCAGAAGGAGGCGGCCUGUCCGUCGCUUACCCGCAAAGUGACGUCCCGGUGGGGAAUUUAAUCGCGUUGUCGAGCCACUGCGCGCUCCCGACAAGGAAAUGCACUUCAGCUACUUUCACGUCUCCGCUCUCUUUUGAUGAGCUGCUGCAUCGCAUCUAGCCGUUCACACAACACGACAAGACUCGCAGCCGGCUAGCGGUGAGUUUGGAAUAGAAACUAGCUAUAACUUUAAGGUUACUCGCAUCAGGCAGUGACCAGGAAAGUGUUGGGAGCCAUUGAUGUGAGACACAUGCAAACCCAGGCACCAUCAGUCCCAGGGACUGAUCACAGUUUCUACAGGGGACCCUGGAUCUUCCUCUACCUGCCCCUCUGAAUGACACGAACACCUCAACACCACCUGUGUUCCUGGGGGAUGAAACAUUCCCUCUGGAUGUACAUUUGAUGCGGCCAUAUUCAGGCAUCAAGCUUGAUGAUGCACAGACAGUCUACAAUAAUCGCCACUCCAGGACCAGGAGAGUGAUUGAAAAUGCUUUUGGUGUCCUGGCUGCCCGCUGGAGGAUUCUGGGUAGGCCCAUAGAUCUCCACCAGACCGUGGAUGUGGUUGAGGCCUGUGUGGCCCUGCACAACAUCUUCACAUGCAAUUUGUUGACAGGACUGCAGCAUCAGUGAAGAUUCUGCCAGGUAAAUGGAGGAGGCUGGUUGCCAAGGACAACAGCCUGCUGGAGCGAGCGACUGUCAACUGCCUGGGCAUCACAGGAUGCGGGUGUCAGUCCAAGACACCAUGAAGUCGUACUUCCACAGUGCAGGACACAGACAUUGGGACAGCUGUAUGAAAUCUGUCAUAUUUGAUGUGUCUGUUAAUGUAAUGUCUGCCUAUAAAAGAACAGUGAACUAGUGAUUGCACAUUCACACACAAACAUUGUAAAUAAAUUAAUAAUAAUUAAUAAUGCAUUUAAAUAAGUUUUCACUUUAGUUUUGUAUCCUUUUCACACUAUUUUGCAUCCAUGUACAUAAUGUGAAUUUGAAUUAAAAACAAAUAUAUGUACAGAAGA